UGGAGAAAUUAUUAGAUUUUUAUUUAUCAUUUUAACUUAGAUUUAAGCAAACUCUGUUAAGUCAAUUACACAUGUUUGGUUUUUGGUUAGGUAAGUAGAGUUAAUGUGGCUGUUGCCUCCUUAUCCUUUCAUUAUUAUUAUUUAUUAUUAUCCAUAUAUUUUGCAUUAGAAGUUUACAUGGACUCAUUCUUUUGAAAACAGUGUUGGGCUGUUCUGGAAAAUAAGAUCGGAAAUGUAAGGAGAGCUCGAGAAUUAUUUGAUGCUGCCACUGUUGCUGAUAAGAGACAUAUUGCAGCCUGGCAUGGAUGGGCAGUUUUGGAGCUAAAACAAGGAAAUAUAAAGAAGGCAAGAAAUCUCCUUGGUAAAGGUCUCAAAUAUUGUGGUGGAAACGAGUACAUAUACCAGACACUUGCAUUGCUUGAGGUUAAAGCAACCCGUUAUGAGCAGGCGAGGUAUUUAUUCAAGCAGGCCACCAAAUCUAAUCCCAAAAGCUGUGCAAGCUGGCUUGCGUGGGCACAAUUAGAGAUGCAACGGGAAAACAACGGCACUGCUCAGCAACUUUUUGAGGUUAUGUUUUUUUUUGCCUUAAUUAUGGGUUCCCUUGGUGUCAAUAGCGGAGGCACCUUAGGCCCGGGGGGGCCACGUGCCCCCCUUGGAUUUUGGGAACUUUUUUUUUU